AAAAGUCCCUGGGCCCAAGAGAAGCACAAAGUGGGGGGAUGGGAUCCCCCACCAUGCACAGAUUUCUUCCUCCUCCUCUAUUCUGAGGCUGUAGCUAGCUCUAGGGGGCUUACUACUCAUGUUCUUUCCUCACCAAAUUCCCUGAGGAAAUGCUCCUAAGCAAUGACUCAUAGCUAAGGUGUUCCACUGAGGAAAGAGAAAUCUUGGAGCCAAGCCCAGCAACUAAAUAGAGAAUCCACUUCCCCUAUCCUAACUUAUAUACAGUCCCUCAGCUGUUAAUCUGAACUUCUGCUGUGGGUUAGAGGGACUGAGAUAAAGGGCUGGAAAAUUCACCAAGACUUGGUAGGGUGGAGGCUCAUUACUCUUAAUUUAUUCCCUGGGCGGUACCACAUGGUUAGCUUGUCGGGAAGAUGGGUGGAUUUCACAGAGGGUGAGGCUGGUGACUCCACAUGGAGUCACCAAAAACAGGGGGAAAGGGAACAGUUAAAGAACAUGGCAAGUUGGUGAAAUCCAUUCAUUUGGUGCUUACUUCGAGCCGAGAACAUGGAUUAUUUUAUUUAAUUCUCCUAACAACCCUGUGAGGUAGGUUGCCACCCCCAUUUUGCAGAGUAGCAAACUGAGGCUUAGAGGUUAAGUUACUUGCUUAGGAUGACAUUGCUAGUAAGUGGUGGAGUCUGGGUUUGAUUGCCAUUCCAGUACAUCAUCAUCAGUGCAAGUGUUUCCUGCUCUUUCGCUUUGAACACGCCAUCUCUAUGCUCCUCCCACUUCCCAGGUUGUGUCUGCCACUUCCUCGUUCUAUUUCCGCUCAACCUGAUCAUGUGACUGGGCUCACCAUUGGCCUCAUUAGAUUCCAUCCUAGAGAGACAAUUUCAUAUUGCACCUACUAUCAACCUGUACUUCAUAGUUCCUUAAUAACCAGAUACCCAUCCAGGUCAACCCUUACUUUUUUCUUCUCAGUGAACUAACAGGAUGCAGUAUACUACUAAGAAAAACCAUUAGCCAGUGUUUUACAUUUGUGUUUUGUUUUGUUUUUGGUGUGCACGACAUCUUUAGGAUAUGUGCAAUGGUCAUUAGUCAAUGUGCAAUGGUCAUUGCUCGACAUUUGAAAUCCAUCUUCUGUUGACUCUGUUUUGAUUUAUCAUAUGCUUUAUGGCAGCUUUUCUAAACCUCCUAGAACCCUAUAUUUAUAUUAAUUUCCCAUUUCUACUUUCUCCUGAGACAUUGCACCUUCAAUUGUCUACUGAAAUCUACUCUUGAAAGUCACCUUCUAAUUAUAUGCCAUUUUUUCAUGUCUGGCCUCUGUGAUGGACUGGCUGACCACCUCUCCUUUUUGAGAAUUCUUCUUUUCUGUAUACUCUGUGCCUUAGCUCUUCCCCCAUGUGGAUAGAGGCUAUAUAUACAUUCUUGGGCCUAGUACCGUGUUUCCAACCACAUGCUGAGAAUCUUCACCUGGUUUCAUCACAAGUUCUCGAACUUAAUAUGUGAAAAACUAAAUUAAUCGUUUCCCCAUGGAAACCCAGUCCUUCUGAUUUCUUUUCUUUUUUUUUUUUUUUUUUGUUUGGUUUGGUUUGGUUUUUCAAUCUAGUUUCUAACCUAGAGAUCUCAUCCCCAUGGAAAACUUUUUAAAGUUCUGUGAAAUCAGCCUUCUCCGUUUCCUUUGAUCCUCCCCUCCCCGACCUCUUUAGCACCAUAGCCCAUUCCCUGGUAGGGUUGUAAUUACCUUGACCUAGACUCCAGGCUUCAGCCCUGGAAUCCACCUAACACAGCCCUAUCAUGUCAACAUCUUAAAGCAUAAGUCUCACCUUAAUAUUUUGUCCACUGAAAAUAAAGUCUUCAAUAACCUGCUGUUACUUACUGAGCUGAUUACUAUCCUAGGGUCUUCCAAAAUGUGUUUCCAACCAACCUUUCUUUUUGUCUUCUGCAUCUCCCCUAACUCAUAUCCCAUUUCAGGAAACAUCUUUACUUAGUGCCAUGAACUUCAUCCAUGUUUUCUCAUUUCCAGGGCUUUGCUUUGAGGGUUCCUUCCCUGUAAAAUGCCUCCCCUUGGCCUAUUAAAAAGGCAUUUUUCUAUCAAGGGCCACCUCAAAGACCACCUCUUCCUGAAAAUCUUUCCUGAACUUUCUAAUUUGAUCUUUUUUUCCCUUUCUUCUCUUUAUUUAUUUAAAAAAAAUUAUUUAUGCCAUAUGGAGUAGGAGUUCACCCUUGAUAGUAGGUUUGUCUUAUUCAUCUUUAUAUACCCAGCACACAGGUCAUAGUCUUGUUAUAAAUAGCCGGUGUGAAGAACUAGAUUGAAUGUACUUUGCUUACCACUGCUGCAGAUAUGGAGAAAUAUAAUGCAUGGUUCUUGCUCUGAUAAAUCUUAGAGAGAUGUUUGAUAAGAAAAGAUAUUUAGAAUUAAUGAGAUAUCCAUUGAAAGCCCAUAAUAAGGGCCAAAGUCGUGCUCCAGACAGUAAGUACUGAGUGAAUUUGGGGUUAAAUGAGCUUUUGGUGGAAAGAAUUUCAUCCAGUGAUAGACCCGAACUUAGUCUUGGUAAGAGUAGAAUUGAUGCCCAGAGGCCAUGGGAAAAGAUAUUCUAGGCUAGGGUUGGGAGGAAGGGCUUUCUCUGCCUCUCUGUGGCUUCCACCCACUGGUCCUGGUUCUGUUCUGUGGGGCUACAAAGUAUGUUUGCUCUUCAAAUGUCCUUCCUUCCUGCCUCCCUCCCUCCCUUCCUUUCUGGUUGAACAUCCCCCAUUCCUUUAGGAUUGUCACAACAUCAUUUCUAGACCCUUCAUCCUUCUGGUGGCCUCUGAAGACAUGCUGCCCUUAGUUAAGGUACCUCUCUUACCUGCAUCUCCAGAAUUGAAUACACUGCCCCACAUAUGAUAUUUCCAGGUCAGAGGGCAGGAGGACUCUACCUCUCCUGUCCUGAAUUUGUACUUCCAUUAGAACAGUCUAAGAGCACGUCGACUGCUGGCUCUUACUGAUAAACAUGUGAACACUUCUGCCCCUUUGCAUAUGGGGAACUCUUUUAAAUUGAGGUUCUCCACAUGCUUCUCUGAGCACUAAUUAAUUAAGCAUCACUGCACCUUGGUGAGGCCUUGGGAAUCACUUCUUCCAGCACGGAAUUACAGGCUGCGCCUGCCUGGAAUGCUAACCACCAUGCCCAGCAAGGCUGUGAGGUGGAGGGUUGAGACUAUCAUAUUCAAUUGAAACUGCAGGGGGAAUUUUAGGGAGGCAGAAUGUAAUUACUUUAGUUGGACAGGGGCCAGGAUUCCGGAGUUAACACAACUGCUCUUAGAAAGUCUGCCAUAAGAUCUCUGGUGACCACAAAUGGUUAGGUCUGUGGUUUUAGGUUUCAUCCAAAAGGUAAACAGCUCAGUGUAGCACAGUGCCCCCAACACCACGCAGGGCAUCGAUUCACACAGACCCGGAGAGGAGAGGCCACCUACUGAAUGAGAAACACCAUUUCCUGAAGUACCUACUUGUUCCUGGGAGGUCUCUCAUCCUCCUCGCACCAAAGCAGACCAGCCCUUCCUUAGCUAGUAAGAACUGACAGGCUCCCAGCACAGAGUGGUAUGGCUGCCAGACUAAAUUAUGUGCUUGUCAUUUUUCCCUGUGUUGUCCAAGAUUCCAGCAACAAAACAGUAGGGAACUCCCCAUAUACAUUUUUUUUUUUUUCUUUUUUGCUCAAAACACAUUCGUUUCUCCUCUCAGUAAAGUUCCUGGAUCCCACAGUCCAAGUUAAACAGAACUGGAAUUUCCCUAUAAGUCAAAAACAAUAUUAAUUCUGAGCCCACAUAUUUUUCUUCUUGUAGGGUAUGUACACAUUUAAACACAGCACAUGUUGCAGACAAUCUGCAAAU
rnacentral:lncRNA from 1 species